rnacentral:rRNA from 1 species
AAUGAACGCUGGCGGCAGGCCUAACACAUGCAAGUCGAGCGAAGUCUUCGUACUUAUCGGCGGACGGGUGAGUAACGCGUUGUAACAUGCCCUUUGGUUCGGAAUAUCCCCGUUAAACUGGUAGUAAUACCGCAUGUUCCCUUCUGGGGAAAGAUUUAUCGCCAAAGGAUUGUCCCGCGUUGGAUUAGGUUGUUGGUGGGGUAAUGGCCUACAAAGCCUACGAUACAUAGCUGGUUUGAGAGGAUGAUCAGCCACACUGGGACUGAGACACGGAGCAGAAUACUACGGGAGGGAGCAGUGGGGAAUAUAAGAAAAUGGGGGAAAGGAUGAACAAGCCAUGACGCGUGAAAGAUGAAGGCAUUAGGGUAGAAAAGAAGAUUAAGAGGGGAAGAUAAUGACGGUAACAAAAGAAGAAGCAACGGCUAACUACGUG